AUUUGAUGAUGGGGACAGCUUGCACACAACUUCUUAAAUUGCUCCCAAUACUCAUAUAAACUCUCUCCAUUGUACUACAGAAUGAGACAAAUUUCUUUCUUAUGUU